CCUACGGGUGGCUGCAGUAAGGAAUAUUGGUCAAUGGGCGCAAGCCUGAACCAGCCAUGCCGCGUGAAGGAUGACGGCCCUAUGGGUUGUAAACUUCUUUUGUACGGGCAAAAACCCCCGUUCGUGAAUCGGUGCUGAUGGUACCGUAAGAAUAAGCAUCGGCUAACUCCGUGCCAGCAGCCGCGGUAAUACGGAGGAUGCAAGCGUUAUCCGGAUUCAGGGUGCGCAAAGGGUAUGCUAACGGAAUGGUGAAAGCCUACAGCUUAACUGUAGAACUGCCAUUGAUACUGUUAUUCUUGAGUGUUGUGGAGGUAGGCGGAAUGUGUCAUGUAGCGGUGAAAUGCUUAGAUAUGACACAGAACACCGAUCGCGAAGGCAGCUUACCAAGCAACAACUGACGCUCAUGCACGAAAGCGUGGGGAUCAAACAGGAUUAGAUACCCUGGUAGUC
rnacentral:rRNA from 1 species